AUGUGCAGACAUGGAGAUGAAAGUCUCUUUCACUGCUUGUUAACAUAUGAUCAUGCCAAGUUGUUCUGGGUGGAAGCAGAAUCAGUUUUCUAUAUUAAGAAGCCAUGCCUCCAUCCAAACACUUGGGCCAUUGGUUUUCUUGAUGCUAGUUUGGUGCCGAAGAAGGAUGCAGCUAUCGGCAUUACGGUGAUGUGGGCUGUUUGGAGUAGUCAUAACAGGUUCACUCGCCAUGAAGAAAAGUACCAGCCGAAGCGUUCCAUAAAGAUUAUUUCAGAGAUUGUAGGGGCGUUGGAGUUCCCCCCUGUGACACAUGCACCUGUUGUCCACUGGCGCAGCGAUGGGAUGCGCCGGUGUCCAGGGUUGUCAAGCUGA
rnacentral:rRNA from 1 species